rnacentral:rRNA from 2 species
UAAUGUUUGAUGUUCUAACGUGGACCCGUGAUCCGGGUUGCGGACAGUGUCUGGUGGGUAGUUUGACUGGGGCGGUCUCCUCCUAAAGAGUAACGGAGGAGCACGAAGGUUGGCUAAUCCUGGUCGGACAUCAGGAGGUUAGUGCAAUGGCAUAAGCCAGCUUGACUGCGAGCGUGACGGCGCGAGCAGGUGCGAAAGCAGGUCAUAGUGAUCCGGUGGUUCUGAAUGGAAGGGCCAUCGCUCAACGGAUAAAAGGUACUCCGGGGAUAACAGGCUGAUACCGCCCAAGAGUUCAUAUCGACGGCGGUGUUUGGCACCUCGAUGUCGGCUCAUCACAUCCUGGGGCUGAAGUAGGUCCCAAGGGUAUGGCUGUUCGCCAUUUAAAGUGGUACGCGAGCUGGGUUUAGAACGUCGUGAGACAGUUCGGUCCCUAUCUGCCGUGGGCGCUGGAGAACUGAGGGGGGCUGCUCCUAGUACGAGAGGACCGGAGUGGACGCAUCACUGGUGUUCGGGUUGUCAUGCCAAUGGCACUGCCCGGUAGCUAAAUGCGGAAGAGAUAAGUGCUGAAAGCAUCUAAGCACGAAACUUGCCCCGAG